UUGAUAUUAUAUCGUCUUUCAUUUUGUCGUGCAAAUAAAAUAACAGAAAUAUUUAGAAAAUAUCAUUCGAAUAAACUAGUGAAGGUGAGCUCCAGCAAAGUAGAUCCUUAAAAUAGUAUUGUACGAAAAGCGUAUCACAAGGCGGAACGUUGUCAAUUUGUAUAUAUACAGAAAUGUUAUUCAUACAGUCAGGAUUUUACUUCUUCAAAAUUAUCUCCCCAUUACGGCUCAUUCAUGCUCACAAUCGUAAGAAAGUGGAAGUCAUUGUAGUAUGACGCUCUGCAAUUUUGCUCUUGAAAAAUAAAUUUAUCCACAUACAUGAGCACUAUACGAUAGAUCGUUAUAUGUCAGUUAUAUUUUUAAAAGACAAAUGUAAUCUACUAGGCUAAGUGAGCAUUAGUUAAGUAUCUUGUCUGCAUUGAUUCAACUUAAAAUUUGCUGUUCGGAUGUCAGAUGGAAUUUUUGAAAAAUCUUAGACAAUUUAAAAAAAUUCUUUUAUUAAAUAUAUUCAGAUGGAAGGGGCAGGACUAAACAUUUUCAGUGAUUAUUAACCCUAGUUAUCACACACAGAAAAUUCAUAUUUUUUCGAAAGAUAGGCCAUUUUCAUCAUCCAAAUUAAAAGGACUGUCAGUCAAGUAAUUUUAGAAAAAAAUUAGCUAUUUCGACACCCUACUCUGUUUUUGUGAUUCAUUAGAUAGUAUCUCACUUGACCCAUAUAUUUCAUCUUUUCGUACUGUCAUUUUUUUACGUUAUAAAGUUCCAAACCUGUAGCUUUUGAUGAUAUAUUAAUUGAUAGAAUCUGAAGCGAGAUUGCCUUAUAUAAAUUUACUCCUUGCUUUGUACUUUUUUGAAAGAGCAAAAAUAUUAACCGCAAACUGAUGGCUUACAAGACGGUAGGAGCAUUAGAUCUGUUUGACCGAUUUUUUAAAAAUCAAAUUGUUGAAAAAUCCAUCCCCUUUUUUAAAGUCAUGGUCAUUCCCUAACUGCUAGAAAAGUUGUUUAAAAAUUUGAAUUCGGUUCUACGUAUACGUAAUGAACAUUUAAAUGACAUCUGGUUUACAAGUGUGAACAAGUCUUAUGUACAGGUAGCUAAACAAGUUGUAUAGAUGUGAACAAAUUUAAUGUGAAACUUGUGUACAUUACAUUAAACCAAAUGUAAACAUGUUUACUGUACACGGCGUUUGGUGUGAACACGGCCUAAGAUAUAUCACCGACGUUGUAUUACAUGAACAUGAAUAACACGACUGUUGAAUACUAGUAAUUGAUUUCGAAUUGACAAAUAUAACACAUCUCCGUAUUUUAUAAAUAUGUAUUGUAUUAUACCUUUUAUCCUAUGCAUGCUUAGUAUAACAAAUCUUCGUUUUUCUUCAUUUGGAUGAAUACCCUUGAUGAAAAAAAAACUAUGUGUAAGUGAAAAAAUCUUAUUGAUUCCGAAAAUAUACCAUAUACAAAAUUAGACAUAUUUUCAACUAAAACAGUUGUUUGCAAAAUUGAACAUAUUAUAUGUAAAUGAAUUUUACGUUAAUGUUGGUUUAAUAUUUAUUCCUUAUAUUCCUGUAAAACAUGUGACAAAAAGCUGUUUGAAAUGGAUAUGUUUCCAUUAUUUUAUUUUCUAUACUCAUUGCAGUUUCAUUUAGGAGAAUAAACACUCUCUCAGUUCAUAAUUUGUUCUAAAUUAUUUUAAUAUUGUAUAGAACAAUAUAUAUUUUGAUUGGAGCCUUUAAGUUGUUUCGAAAUUAUUUUUUUCAGGAAUGGUUAGCCCAUUUUCGUGAAUUAUGCAAAUUACAUUGUUUUACAAAAUAAACAAAAUCAAGAGUAGAUUUUAUAAUUAAUAUUGAAGAUGAUUUAUAAUUUGACGAAUAUACACCUACUGUUGUAACAAUAGGUUAACACAAUCAUUAAUAUCAAAUAUCGCCUAGAGCAUACAACACGUUUUUUUUUGUAUUCAUAACUGAUGACACAUUUUAUUUUACAUGGAAGAUAACAUUACACAUUUCAUCAAAUUGAGAAAAAGGUAAUACAAUAUAAAUCAUUUUAUAUUUCAGAUUCUUGAAAAAUAAUCACAUUUCUGAAAUUCCGCCAGGGACGUUUACAGACAUCCAUAAUCUGUAUGUAUCGACUUUUUCAAUUAUUAUCUUUUUUUUUUCUUUCUUUCAAAAAAUAUUAGACACAAUUAUUUUUAUGAACCAUUAGGUUAAAUAUUAGAUCAAUCAGAGCUGGUUUUUAGCUCACCUGACCCAGUCGUCGUUCGUUGUCUGUCGCUGAUUUUGAAAAAAAAUCUUCUCUAAAAGUCUUAAAACAAAUGUAACCGACCUUGGCCACAAUCAUGAGUAAGGUAACAAUGAGUCCGACAACCAAAAUAGCCGACAUGGCUAAUGAAAGGUCAUAUAGGUAUUUGAAAACAGUUGUAAAAAGAGAAAACCUUAGAAGUUCAAAAAUGUUCAAAAUGUUAAGCUUUUUUUAUACGUCAAAACUGUCGAACAACUUGUUAUAGCGGUUAUUGUCCUUAAUAGUUACCAAAGUUACCAGAAUUAUAAUUUUAUACGCCAGACGCGUGUCGUGUUUCUUCUACAUUAGACUCAUCAGUGACGCUCAGAUCAAAAUAGUUAAAUGUUAAAAAUUUACCAUUUUCAGUUUUUCCUAUUGUCAUGAAAACUAUGAUAGAUAGAGAGAACAUUUUCAUUGCAAAAACUAUCAGCAUUACAAGUUACAAAUUAGUAUGCAUUGUCAACAUUGUAUGGUGAAACUUUUUUUUUUUAGAGUUAUUGCAAUCUGAUAACGAUUUUUACCAUUGUAAGGGCAUUUUUUGCCGUGUUAUAAGCUAUAAUAGAUAGAUACAAAUUGAAAUAUCUACAAUUAAGUGCAAGAGAUGAAAUCCUCCGACGACUCCUUAUUUUAAUUAUUGCCCUUAAAUGUUGAUUUUUAUAAUAAAGUUUGCAUAUUUCCUUUUGUUAUGAAAAUAAAAAAAAGGUAAACAGACAUUUAAAUCACAAGAUCUGCUACAAAAUUAAAUUUUGAUUGGUUUGGUUUGUAGACUGUCACUCUUUGUAUAAGGAAUUGCUCUUAAAUUAGGAUUUUAUUCAUCCCUCUCGUGUGUUUUGAGCCAGAAAUUAAGAUAAAGAGAAACUAAAGAGACGUAAUUCUAGAAGUCAGUGAUAAAAGAGGAACGAAAGAUACCAAAGGGACAGUCAAACUCAUAAAUCUGACAACGCCAUGGCUAAAAAUGAAAAAAAGACAAACAAAAAAACAAUAAUACACACGACACAACAUAGAAAACUAAAGAAUAAACAACACGAACCCACCAAAAACUAGGGGUGAUCUCAGGUGCUCCGAAAGGUAAGCAGAUCCUGCUCAUCAUGUGGCACCCGUCGUGUUGCUUAUGUGAUUACAAAUCCGGUAAAUAGUCUAAUUCGGUAGGUCACAUUCAUGAAAGGGAAGGGGAUUGUAGUUACGACGUAAGAAACAUAUCCGAUAUCAUUUGUGAAACGGUUAUUCCAUAACGAUCAACCAACUCGUGAUGGCGUCCGUAAAAUUUACGAAGGGAUGAUUUCAACUUCACCAUUUGGAACUCUUGGUUUAAUAGCUUUACUUGUGAGCAGUAACCCUAUAUCAAGAAAAUCAUGAUAGGAAAUGCAAGCACGGGAAUAUCGUAUCAUUGGCAGAAAUAUACCCGUAGCAGUGCUGCUGGAAUGUUGCAAUUAGAAAUGGAAUGUUCACAAUUGGAAAGCUGAAAAUCAUCUUUUGUCGUAAAGUUUUGUUUUCAACCGACCCUCAUUGUCAAUUUCUAGAUGCAAGUCAAGAUAUGAAGCCGACUAAACUGUAUCUGUAGUAUCCUUUAUCUCCAAUUCGAUGGGAUAGAUGCGUUUCAAUAGUCACCAAAUUUUGAAUUGUUUAGUGAAAGAAGUCAUCUAUAUAGCGGAAAGUAGAGUUAAAGGAUAUUGCUAACUUCUUAUCUUUCUUCCUAAGAAGUUCCUGCAUGAAGUCAGCCUCAUAAUAAUAAAGAAACAAGUCGGCAAGUAGAGGGCACAGUUUGUUUCCCAUUGGGAUGCUGAAAAACACGUCCUCCGAACGUUACAAAUAUGUUGUCAAUCGAGAAAUCAAGCAUCUUGAUAAUAUCGGUUUCAGAGAUUUUUUGUUUGAAUCAGAGUGAUUUUUUCAAAGUAUGAGUUAUCCCUCCCUAAACAAGAUACUUGUAUCUACGUUGGCCAUUCUUUUUUUGAAGCAAAGAAUACCAACUCUUUCAAUUUGUCUUUUAGUUUGGAAUGUGGAAUACUUGUGUAAAUGAGUAGAAAAAGUUAAAUUUUUAAUACUGUUACAAGAUGAAAGAGAGUUAGAUUGUAUGUACUCUAAAAGAUCAUUGGAAUUUUUAAGUAUCCACAUCUGAUUCACGCCACCUCUAGAAUAGGCAGUUUCACAAUAACUUUGAAGCCCGUCUUUGAUUGCUGAUAAAAUAGAUGUUAAUAAUUUAGAAAGAGGUUGCGUGGAGCACUUGGAAGACCCAGCAAUAUACCGUUGUUUGAAGGACACUUAUGUAGUUUAGUAUCCAAUACAGUGAUGGAAGAUCCAGUUCUUCAUCUUUGGUUGAAAUACCAAAGAACAAAGAACAGACCUAUUAUUAUCCAGAAUUUCCUCUUUGGUAAGUGUCGUGAGGGUAUAUGUUGAGUUUCCAAGUGAAUUGUCUAUACCUAAUUCGUAUAUCAAGCAAUUAAUUAGUACUUUUUACAGACAAAAAACGAUGUUAUUUGGAGCUUUGUCUGCGGGGACAACAACAUAUUUAUCAUGGAGGUCGGAUAAAGUGUUUAGCAACAUUUGGGUCUUAAAGAUUGACGUAGCAUGGGCAUUGAUGGACCCAUUCAGUUUCUUAAUUCUGAUUUGUAUUAACACCUCACUGCCUUAAUCCAUUCGGAUAGAGUGUUACGUCUUUCUUUUCACGUUUAGCCCAUUGCCUGGCAUAAUCCUCGAUUGAGUCCACCAAAAUUUUAAAGUUGUAUUUCAAAUUGAUGGAUUUAGGCUCACGAUAUUUCGGACCUUUCGAUAACACAUUUCGUAAAGAAUUGUUAUUAACAAUGUUAAGGUCACCGGUAAUAACAUGGCCAGCAGGAUUAUAUGUGAAUUGGGAACUAGCACAAGUGCAAUCAGGAGGUUUAGACUUGAAGUUGUCAAUAUCGAGAUUCUGCAAAACGCGUUUGUAAUUGAAAAUUUUAGUUGCAAUAGGUUUAGUAUAGGUAUAAGAAAUUAUUGGUACAGAAUGGUCUUUGAAAUAAGGACGUAUUUUCGAUUGAACUAAUUUAUGAUGAAGGAUAUUGCCUAGGUUUACGCCAUCGAGACCUUUGUUGGCAAAGGAAAGAUUUAGAAAAGAUCUUUUCUCUUUUUCAUCUUUUCCAAUGCGAACUGGCUUGAAAAGUCUGUGACUUGCAAUAUCCGAAAUUAUAGCUUGAAGUUUGUAUUGGUUUGAAUGAGGGUUUGUAACAGUGGAUUCCAACCAUAAAUUGAACAAAGAAUGAAGUUUUGAAAGGGGUUAUGAAUAAAGUUUCGUGCGAAUGUGAUGAAUACCUAACGGCUUUUGUAUGAAUGACAGCAAGUCGUUAAUAGAGACAUUAUGCAGAGAAGGUGAUGUAUAAUGACGAUGACCAUGACUGCGUCCACGUCAAAGAGUCGAGUUGAAAAUAUUCAUCACAUUCACCGAGUUACACGAAGGACUAGAUAGAAUACCUAUAACAUUAAUUUUGUCAUUGCAGCCAUACGGUGUUGCAGUUCCCAAUUGUCUAAUCCAGUAGUCUUCUUUUUGUUUACGGAGAGUCGUUGAAAGAUUAGGAACAUCAAGUUAAUAAUAGAUACUUUUGUCAUGAACUUUAUUCUUGUCUAAAAUGUUAGAGAUUGUUCUUUGUUUGAAAUGCAAACGAACAAAGAUGAGCGACACGGGAUCAAAGAGUUUUUUCAAUAAAUAUACUAGUAUACUUGUUUAGUAUUCCAAUAGCGACUGAGUAGUUUUUCUCACUCAAAAGUCGCUGGAUGCUAAAACUGGCUUGUGCGUUCAUAACACACUUGUGGAAACUGUAGAGCUUGUGUUCGUAAAAUGAUCUUUACUCAAUUAAAGUAACAGUUAAUGCCUAUUGUAAAUAGAAUUGAGAAUAGAAAUGAGGAAUGUGUCAAAAAGACAACUUCCAAACCAAAGAGUAGAAAACUGCCGAAGGCCACCUAUGGGUCUUAAAUACAGCGAGAACAAAUUCCGCUCCCUGAAGCGUACUCCAGCUGACCCGUAAACAAAAACUAGUACCAGUUCAGUGACAAUGGACGUCACAAUGUAGUAAAGAACAUAUGCCAAGACUAUAGUAUCAACGGGGUCAAUCAUUUCAAUAGUACCCUUGCUUUAUUAAAUGAAUUGAAAUUAUUUUUUAAAAGUUUUCAGGUUGUUGUUUUUCCUAAACAUUUCAUUCGUUUGUGUUAAUUUAUCAUACUUUUCUUAUCCCCUGUUUGUUGUUAUUUCUUGUCCUUUCAAUGUGACAGCUAUUUAGGUGUUUUACUACUUUAUUGUUUUAAUAGUAGUUCCUUUAUUCCUGAACCUGGACAUAACAUAAGAGUAAGGUUUUGAUUUAAUUAAACUAGCAUACACCUGGUGGAUUAUUUAGUUCUACUUCCAAUGCUCGAAAUAUAUAAGUCAUGGUUUAUGUGCUUGUCCCCGUAUACUUAAUAGUGUACAGAUUAGUAUUUUGAAAUAAUAUUGUGCCCUUAAAUGUGAUAAAUCUUUUAUCAUGGAUGUUUGGUUUCCGGCCGUAUUGAAGCUCAGACCGUAAAACAUGGAUAUACGUUUUAUGUGUUUCAUUGUGCAAUAAUACGACAUCUUUAGGCCUUGUCAUGUAUGCGUUUUUUCCUUUCGUUGUUUGAUAUUACAAUUAAUUUAAUCAAAUCAUUCUGUAAUCAAACAAUUAACAAGAAUUGCACAAUUUAUUACGGAACAGUUACAACUUCGUUGGAAUUCUUCGUCUUAUGUUGCGCUGAUAAUAUAUAUGUAUUCGUAUGCCAACUUUGACAGCACACACAAGUCGAAAGUGUAUCGCUCUCGCAUACUGCUUGUGGUGCGAACAUUGUUAAAAAAUAUUUCUUUGUUUAUUAUGAACACGAUUAUAAAUAUCAUGGCCUGUCAGUUUCUUCUCUCAAAAUAAUAUCUACACGCAUAUGGUAUCUUAAAUCCUUUAUUUUCAUGAUUUGUAUAAUUAUAAUUCAGUUUCAUAUUCUAAUGUAAAUUUUCUUACAUAAAAAAAAGGUAUACUAAAAUUAAAAUGGACAGGAAGAAUGUAUCAAAGAGAAAACAACGCGACCACUGAACAGAAAACAGCCAAAGGUCACACAUUAUCAUCAACAAAGGGAGAAGGCGUGCUUCAGCUGGCCCCUAAAUAAAAAUGUGUACUAGUGCAGUGAUAAUAGACGUCAUACUAAACUCCGAAACAUAUAUAUGAACUAAAAUAUGAACCGAUGCAAAAACCUUAUAAGUGAAUCAACUUUUGAAGCCAAAAUAUCUAAUCUUUAAUGACUGUACAACAGUAUCGUAACUAUAUCCCUUCUUGAUAAGUCUGUUUAAAGGUUAGGUCAGCCUUUCAGGUGAAUGUGAUAUUGUUGUGCUAUGUAAUGGAAUAAAGCUAUACGUUCUUGUAAUAAUACCUACAUUUAUACAAUAAAAGAUUUUUUUUAUAUUUCAGAGAUUUAGAGAACAAUCAAUUUACUACAUUGCCAAACGGAUCGUUUCAAGAAUUGACCUCACUCGACGAGUUGUAUGUAUAUAUUUGUACAAAUGCGUUCUGAGAAUAGGCUAGAUUUUAUGUCUGUCGAGUUGUCUUUCUUCCCUUUUUUUACAUGUUAUUUCUAAACAAAUACUUCUCUAUGCUACGUUUUGAUCGUGUUUAGGAUUGACAUCGCUCGACAAGCUGUAUUUACAAAUAAGUAGAAACAUAAAACUAGAUACAGCUUCCUUAAGGUUUCAUAUAUCUAAGCAUAUACAUAUGAAUAUAUAACUCGUCUAAACAUCAACCCAACAAUGUUAGAUCUGUAAAUUUGCUUUCACAAAUUUUUGGUUCUUCCCUCGCCGGGAUUCGAACCCAUGCUACUGUGAUAUCGUGACACCAAAUAGCCUGCACUGCAGCCGUCCCGCUAGACCACACCACCACCUUGGUUCAUAUGAAUAUAUAUAUACAUAUUAUCACAUGACAGAAAAGAACGAAAGCGGAUGAACAUUAUAAGAAUAUGAUAGCAUAUCAUAUAAAAAAAAUGUUGUAUGAUUGGCAAUGAGACAAAUAUCCUCCAUAUUUCAGAUGACGUGGAUGUAAGCAAAUUUAGCCUAUCGUUCGACUUUCAACAACGAGAAAAAAUCAAUACUGUAUAUUUGACUAUCACAGUAACCGAAUUGAAGAAUAUGAAACAAUACAAACGAAGAAAUUAACUGUCUUAUUCUAACAAUUACAAUUUAUAAAAAGCAAAUAUGGUAGACACUGAUCUUCAGGCUUCUGACUUGGGACAGGCACAUACGUGACGGGGUUAAACUUGUACAGAAGUGUUAUAGCACAAGAUAGAACAAAAUGUAAAAACAAUUUUUCAUUCAACGUUUGUAUAAAUACUCUUGAAAAAUACCUAAAUUAAAAGUAUUAUAAACGCGAAUCAGGAAAGCGCUUAGUAAAAAAAAAGACAUGUAAGGAGAGGCUUAAAUAAAAGCUUAGGUCAAAACGCCUGAUGAAGGGACCAAAGCAAAACGUUCUUAAAAUGUUUCCCGACAUUUAUACCAUAAAGAAACUUUUUUUGUUUCAGAAGUUUGGUCAACAAUCAAAUUACUACAAUACAGAACGGAUCAUUUCAAGGAUUGACAUCGCUAUACAAGCUGUAUGUAUAACUGUAUACAAAUAAGAAUAAAACAAACGUUUGGAUAGUAUUUCCAUUGCGUUUGUUAUACAAAAAGAAUUAUGAAACACAUUACUAUUUGCUAGAAAGGAACGAAAGAAUAUAAACGAAACGUCAUCAAGAGUUUUGAAAAAAAAAUCAAUAUUCCUGUUAUUUUUAUCUACAGUUAAGUAAAACAAACUGCAAAUUUGUACUUCACAUAAAACAAUUAAAGAAAUUCUAAAUGAUUUUAUUUUAAGAAAUAUGACUGCUAUUCAGAACAUGAAACAUGUUCAUUUGAAUGGUCGUUUACGCAAUCCUCAAUACUUCUGUCGGUUUUUUUUUCGUUUCUUUAUAAUGUUAUAAAUGUAGUUUCUUAUAUUGAGAGGAUUCUUUAAGAAUCUGUGGUUUCAUAUUAUCUUGCACACUUUACACACAGAGGAAAAGAUAAAAAAAGUAUGAUAAAAACACUUGAAAUUUAUUUAAAUUAAUAAAAAGUAAUAUUAACGGAAAACAUACAAAAAGCAGACAAAAAGACAUGUGAGAUAGAGGGCUUAUAAAAUGUUUCCUUCAUUUUUACGAUAAAAAACUGAUUUUUAUUACUACAAUACAUCACGGAUUGUUUCAUGGAGUGACAUCGCUAUACGAGCUGUAUGUAUAACGUUAUGCAAUUUAGUAUAAACAAAAUUCUAGAUACUAUGUUCAUUCAGUUUGUUAUAUGUUAACACUUAUAGAUAUACACUACUCGUUGACAGAAGAGACAUAAUCUUUAUAAACAAAGUGUCAUUAGGAUUAAACAAGAGUAUAUUUUUAUUUCACAAAAACUAAACAAAGGAAAUUCUAAAUGAUCGUAUUCUAAGAAUUAUUACUGCUAUUCAAAAGAUGAAACAUGUCUAUUCAAAAAUGGUCGUUAACAUUAUUCUCAAUACAACUGCCGAUUUUGUUUUUGAUUCGUUAUCAAGUUAUAGGGAUGCUCUCAGCUGUCUGGAAGGGUAAGCAGAUCCUGCUCAAUAUGAGGCACCUAUCGCGCAUGUUAUUACAAACCCGGUAAAUAGUCUAAUUCGGUAUAAGCUGAUUAUAUUCCUUUUAAUUUCUUAAAUUAAGAGGAUACUUUGAGAUUAAUUUGGUGUCAUAUUAUUUAGAUACUUUUACACACAAAGGGAAAGAUAUAAGUAUGAUAAAAACCAUUAAAAACAUCUAUAUUAAAGUAAUAUAAACAAAAAACAUACAAAAAAAGCAGAACAAAAGACAUGUGAUGUAAGAGAUGUUGUAUAAAAGCUGAGAUAAAAACGCCUAAUGAAGGGACCAAAGUAAAACGAUCUUCAAAUAAAGGCAACAUUAGUAUACCGCUGUUCAAAACUCGUAAAUCUAUGGACAGAAAACAAAAUCGGGGUAACAAACUAAAACUGAGGGAAACGCAUUAAAUAUAAGAGGAGAACAACGUCACAACAUUAAAAUGUAACACACACAGAAACGGAUAAAUCAUUAGACAAAAUCCGAUGAGAAUAACAAAUAUAACAUCAAAACCAAAUACAUAAAUUUGGGAUAGAAAAGUACCGUCACACGUCUUAUAGUAAAGUGAAUUCACACUCAAAUAUAAGAGAAAACAAACGACACAACGGAAACACAACGUAAAAAUGUUACACACACAGAAACGGACUAUAAUAUAACAACAUCUUGACUUGGUACAAGACAUUUUUAAAGAAAAAAAUGAUUGGUUGAAACUUGUUUUGUGGCAUGCCAAACCUCGCACUUUAAUGGCAAUGUUAAAUAUAACAUUAAAAUGACAACAUAAUAUUACAGGACUACAAUACAAAUACAUAGGAGAACAUAUUAGACAAAGAAACACAUGAAUAAUAGAUAACAAAAGGCAUCAGAUUUAAAAUUAAAUACGCCAAAAACUCGCCUCGUCCACACAAGAUAGCAGUGACGCCCAGAUAUAAAAGUUCGAAAGUCAAAAAAAGUACAAAGUUGUACAGCAUUGAGGAUCAAAAGUUGAAAAAGGUUGUACCAAAUACGGCUUGGAUUUUCUGCUUAUGAUAAGAACAUUCUUAUUAUCAAGAACAAUUUAUGCUAUUGCAAACAGUAAAUUUUAUCAAAUGAAUAUAAAAGAUAUACAUGAUAAAACUGAAGUCUUAACUAAUUACAGAAAACAAAAACCGGAAUACAUAAUAUAGACCAACACUGAAAAUAGUCACACCCGACUUAUUCCAGGCCUCAACGCAAACAGUCAUAAAAAUUACGUCACAUACGAAGUGGUGAAAACGCACAAAAAAACGUCACACUUGAAUUUCUGAAACGGCACAAAAAUGACGUCACAUUUUAAAAACUAUAUCUCAAAAAUAAGAUAGAAUUAGGAUUGAUUUUAGAUUAUAAUAGAACUAAAUACUGAUAUUACAUUUAAACACAAUGCACAUUGCAAUACUUUAUUAAUAGCAAUUAACUAUAUCAUAUAUAUGUCCUGUUUGUUUUGAAUCUGACUUCAAACGUAAAACAUCAUACAGACUAAGUUGAACAAAAUCAAAUCUAAUAAAUGAAGGCGGUGAUUAAUUUUCUUUACCAUAACAAAUGAAUAUAAUAGAAAAGACGUCACCAAAUUUGACAAAAUCCGAUGAGAAUUACAAAUAUAACAUCAAACUAAAUACAUGAAUUUGGGAUAGAUAAGUACCGUAACACGUCUUAUAGUAAUGCGAAUUCACACUCAGCAAAACAGUCACAAUCUGGAAUAAGUUCGGUAAUUAAAAGAUUAGACGACGUAAUGACAAACCACAAUGUACCAUGUGUUAAAAAUGUCCUUAGUUAGUUUGGUCAAAGACACAUCGUAUGGAUCAACUUAUUCGUGAUGGUGUCCAUAAGAGUGUCAAUUUUAAUCUGUCUUCCUCAUAACUUUGUUGAAGCAGUUUCUGUGUAAGGAGUACACUUCUGUAUAUGAAGUUCGUAUAGUGUGAACAAGCACGAGAAUAACGUAUCAAUUGUGAUAUGUAAACACCAUACGAAAGGGCAGAGGGUAUAUUACUGCUGAGAAAUGGGAAAUUGAUCAUUGGGAAGUUGAAAUCGUCCCGUUUAUCAUAGAUUUUUGUGUGAAGUCGUCCUACUGCGUCAAUAUUGAGGAAAAUAUCAAGGUAUGAAGCAGUCCUUCUAGUAUCAGUAGUAUCCUUAAUUUCAAGUUCGCUGGGAUAUAUGAGAUGUAAGUAUUGGCUGAAGUAUGGGUUAUUCAAUGAUAGAACAUCAUCAAUAUAUCGAUAAGUAAAACUAAAGAAUUUCGCAAGGUGCUGUUUCUUUUUGUCUUUUAUAUUCAUUUGAUUUUUUCAAAUGUUUCCUUCAUUUAAACCAUCAAGAAACUUAUUUUGUUUCAGAAAUUUGAGAAACAAUCAAAUUACUACAAUACAUCACGGAUCGUUUCAAGGAUUAACAUCGCUAUACGAGCUGUAUGUAUAACUGUAUACACAUAAGAAUAAAUAAACGUCUAGAUAUCAUGCUAACUCAGUUUGCUAUACUAAAAAAUGUUAUAAAAACACUACUAUUUGAUAGAAAGGAACGAAAGUAUAUAAACGAAACCGCAUCAAGAGUUUUGAGAAAAAAAAUAAUAUUUCUGUUAAUUUUUAGCUACAGUAAAGUAAAACAAACUGCACAUACGUACUUCACAUAAAACAAUAAAAGAAAAUCUAAAUGAUUAUAUUUUCAGAAAUAUGACUGCUAUUCAAAACAUGAAACAUGUUCAUUGAAAUGGUCGUUUACGCAAUCCACAAUACUACUGUCGGUUUUUCUUUAUAAUGUUAUAAAUGUAAUCUGCAUAUACUGUCCUUUCAGUUUCUUAUAUUGAGAGGAUUCUUUAAGAAUCUGUGGUUUCAUAUUAUAAGGCACACUUUACACACAAAGGAAAAGAUAAAAAAAGUAUGAUAAAAACACUUGAAAAUUAUAUAAAUUAAUAAAAAGUAAUAUUAACGGAAAACAUACAAAAAGCAGACAAAGACAUGUGAGGUAGAGGCCUUAUAAAAUGUUUCCUUCAUUUUUACGAUAAAAAAAAACUGGUUUUGUUUCAGACAUUUGGGGAACAAUCAAAUUGCUACAAUACAUCACGGAUUGUUUCAUGGAUUGACAUCGUUAUACGAGCUGUAUGUAUAACUAUAUUCAAAUAAGAAUAAACAAACGUCUGGAUAUCAUGUUCAUUCAGUUUGUUAUAUGUAAACAAUUAUAAAUACACACUACUCUUUGACAGAAGAGAAAUAAUCUUUUACAACUGCUGAUUUUUUGUUUUGAUUCGUUAUCAAGUUAUAUAUAUAUAGGGAUGCUCUCAGCUGUCUGAAAGGGUAAUCAGAUCCUGCUCAAUAUGAGGCACCUAUAGUGUUGCGCAUGUUAUUACAAACCCGGUAAAUAGUCUAAUUAGGUAUAAGCUGAUUAUAUUCCUGUUAAUUUUUUAAAUUAAGAGGAUACUUUGAGAUUAAUUUGGUUUCAUAUUAUUUAGAUACUUUUACACACAAAGGAAAAGGUAUAAGUAUGAUAAAAACCAUUGAAAACAUCUAUAUUAAAUAAAAUAAACAAAAAACAUACAAAAAAGCAGAACAAAAGACAUGUGCUGUAAGAGAUUUUGCAUAAAAGCUGAAGUCAAAACGCCCAAUAAAGGGACCACAGUAAAACGGUCUUCAAAAGUAUCCUUCAUUUAAACCAUAAAGAAACUUGUCUUUUUUCAGACAUUUGGAUAACAAUCAAAUUACUACAAUACAGCACGGAUUAUUUCAAGGAUUAACAUCGCUAUACGAGCUGUAUGUAUAACUUUAUACAAAUAAAAAUAAACAAAAGUCUGGAUAUUAUUUCCAUUGCACUUGUUAUAUCUAAAAAACUAUAUAACGUUACGUUAAUUUAACCAAACUAAAAAAAUGUAUACGGCCUGCUCUAACAGAGUCAAGGGGUGAAAGAUUGGAAAUGGUUCUCCGUAACUUUUAUGAAAACCAUCAUGAAUUCACUGGGGUAAAGCUGAUGACCGUAACUGCAUUCACGGUCAUCCCAAGAUGUCGGAUGAAAAAUUAGGUCAGUUUCUGUAUUGUCUGUUCAAGUGUUUCUAUAUCAUUUUCUUUACAAAUCAUACAUUGAAACGAUGUAAAUUUAUAAAAGAAUCACUCGGAAAUCACUAAUUACUUCUGAGAAAUGUGCAUGAAACGGGAAAUUCGAUUUGAAAAAAAUCGCCAAGAUGACGUAAAUCACAAUCGAGAUGACCGUAACAGAAUCAGGCGAUUCAUGACAAGGCUAAUUUGACCCGUAACUUUGAUGACCCUCAAUUUAAGAAAUAUCCCGUAUUUAUAUAACUAUCUUUUUGUAUAAAUGAUGUAAUCGUGUUGUAUACACAUAAUUUUAAAUAUGAGAGUUUUAUCCUAUAGGUAGAGAAGAAUAAUAAGACGUGCUUCAAAUGCAAAGAUUACCAUAUGUAUCUUUUUUACAGUAGAGUGUUUAAUUUUUAAAAUGAAUUUGCCAAAAGAUAUGCAAAUGAACAGGAAGGGAAAACAUGCUACAAAAGCGCGAUAAAAUGACACCUUACAAGUAUAAUGAAAAAAAAUGCGGUGCACAGUUCAACUGCUCGACAUAAGAUUUUUUUUUGUUUCUGGGAUUCCUUUUAAUGACAUAUAAUAAAUACACAUUUUUAAAAAUGCCAAAAAAAUGCAUGUACACCCGAUAUUAAUACGUCUUUCAUUUUGUCGUGCAAAUAAAAUAACAGAAAUAUUUUGAAAAUAUCAUUCGAAUAAACUAGUGAAGGUGAGCUCCAGCAAAGUAGAUCCUUAAAAUAGUAUUGUACGAAAAUCGUAUCACAAGGCGGAACGUUGUCAAUUUGCAUAUACAAUGUAUACAGAAAUGUUAUUCAUACAUUCAGGAUUCUACUUCUUCAAAAUUAUCUCCCCAUUACGCCAGUUCAUGC
rnacentral:lncRNA from 1 species